AGUGAACGCUGGCGGUAGGCCUAACACAUGCAAGUCGAACGGCAGCACAGUAAGAGCUUGCUCUUACGGGUGGCGAGUGGCGGACGGGUGAGGAAUACAUCGGAAUCUACUUUUUCGUGGGGGAUAACGUAGGGAAACUUACGCUAAUACCGCAUACGACCUACGGGUGAAAGCAGUGGAUCUUCGGACCUUGCGCGAUUGAAUGAGCCGAUGUCGGAUUAGCUAGUUGGCGGGGUAAAGGCCCACCAAGGCGACGAUCCGUAGCUGGUCUGAGAGGAUGAUCGGCCACACUGGAACUGAGACACGGUCCAGACUCCUACGAGAGGCAGCAGUGGGGAAUAUUGGACAGUGGGCGCAAGCCUGAUCCAGCCAUACCGCGUGGGUGAAGAAGGCCUUCGGGUUGUAAAGCCCUUUUGUUGGGAAAGAAAAGCAGCAGGUUAAUACCCCGCUGUUCUGACGGUACCCAAAGAAUAAGCACCGGCUAACUUCGUG
rnacentral:rRNA from 1 species